UACGGGAGGGGCAAGCGUUGUUCGGAAUUACUGGGCGUAAAGGGCUCGUAGGCGGUCAACUAAGUCAGCCGUGAAAUCCCUCGGCUUAACCGGGGAACUGCAUCUGAUACUGGAUGGCUUGAGAUUGGGAGAGGGAUGCGGAAUUCCAGGUGUAGCGGUGAAAUGCGUAGAUAUCUGGAGGAACACCGGUGGCGAAGGCGGCAUCCUGGACCAUCACUGACGCUGAGGAGCGAAAGCCAGGGGAGCAAACGGG
rnacentral:rRNA from 1 species